rnacentral:rRNA from 1 species
GACGAACGCUGGCGGCGUGCUUAAAACAUGCAAGUCGAACGGACUUCUCAUGAAGCUUGCGAUUGAGAAGUUAGUGGCGGACGGGUGAGUAACGCGUGGGCAACCUGCCCCUGAGCCCGGGAUAACAGUUCGAAAGGACUGCUAAGACCGGAUAUACUUGCGGUGAAGCAUUUCACUGCAAGGAAAGGGAACGCUCAGGGAUGGGCCCGCGUCCCAUUAGCUAGUUGGUGAGGUAACGGCCCACCAAGGCGACGAUGGGUAGCCGGCCUGAGAGGGUGAACGGCCACACUGGGACUGAGACACGGCCCAGACUCCUACGGGAGGCAGCAGUUGGGAAUCUUCGGCAAUGGGCGCAAGCCUGACCGAGCAACGCCGCGUGAGUGAUGAAGGUUUUCGGAUUGUAAAGCUCUGUCUUCCGGGACGAUAAUGACGGUACCGGAGGAGGAAGCCACGGCUAACUACGUGCCAGCAGCCGCGGUAAGAGUGUGUGUA